rnacentral:rRNA from 1 species
UACAGAGGGUGCGAGCGUUAAUCGGAAUUACUGGGCGUAAAGCGCACGUAGGCGGACUUUUAAGUCAGGGGUGAAAUCCCGGGGCUCAACCUCGGAACUGCCUUUGAUACUGGAAGUCUUGAGUAUGGAAGAGGUAAGUGGAAUUGCGAGUGUAGAGAUGAAAUUCGUAGAUAUUCGCAGGAACACCAGUGGCGAAGGCGGCUUACUGGUCCAUUACUGACGCUGAGGUGCGAAAGCGUGGGGAGCAAACAGG